rnacentral:rRNA from 1 species
UACGUAGGGGGCGAGCGUUAUCCGGAAUUACUGGGCGUAAAGCGCACGCAGGCGGUUCUCUAAGUUUGGAGUGACAGUUGGUGGCUUAACUGCCAAAGUGCUUCGAAAACUGAGAGACUUGAGGGCUUCAGAGGGACACGGAAUUCCGGGUGGAGUGGUGAAAUGCGUAGAGAUCCGGAGGAACACCAAAGGCGAAGGCAGUGUCCUGGGGAGUACCUGACGCUCGAGGUGCGAAAGCCAGGGGAGCGAACGGG